AAAUUGAAGAGUUUGAUCAUGGCUCAGAUUGAACGCUGGCGGCAGGCCUAACACAUGCAAGUCGAACGGUAGCACAGAGAGCUUGCUCUCGGGUGACGAGUGGCGGACGGGUGAGUAAUGUCUGGGAAACUGCCCGAUGGAGGGGGAUAACUACUGGAAACGGUAGCUAAUACCGCAUAACGUCGCAAGACCAAAGUGGGGGACCUUCGGGCCUCACACCAUCGGAUGUGCCCAGAUGGGAUUAGCUAGUAGGUGGGGUAACGGCUCACCUAGGCGACGAUCCCUAGCUGGUCUGAGAGGAUGACC
rnacentral:rRNA from 1 species